CUGUUUAUUAUAUGAAGAGAAUUAUGAGUUUCCUCCAUUACAAGAGCAUUAGACAUAGACGGGAUCAUCAAAAACAAUUUGCUUAACAAAACUUUCUUUUCACUUUUUUUUCCUGUGCUGGGAUUAAGUUUUAUAACAACCUGAAAUAUUGGGCCUUGGCCCAUCUAAGUUACUUAGGUAUUAAGUCUUGGCCCAUUUUUACACUACUUCAACCAUAAGCUAUUUACCCACCUCUUUAGUACCUACUUAUAACAUAAUUAAAAAAAAAGAGCUACAGGGAAGAGAUGUGAAGAAAAGAAGCUAGAAACUUAGAACCACAUAAGAAAAAUGCAAGACCCAACUAGUUUCUCCAUUCUUGACUUUGCAAAUAACUAAUACUUCAAGGAGACAAUUGUCGGAAGCGAAUUGGAGUUAUUCGGCAAGAGUAAAAUAACUUAGCCGAGGGUGACAUUCUGACUCAGACAGAGCGAUAGACAGAGCUGACAAUGAAUCCAUCACCGGGCCAGCUUGCACGCACCUCGACUAAUUCCACGGGAUACCUGCCACCUCCCACCAGCAAUAUGUACCAGGUAACUCUGUUCCCCAAGGCUAGGACAGAUGGGAAGAUAUCACCUGGUGUUUUUGUCUUUGCUGGGAUCUGAACCUGAGAGACCUCAUGGUUCUCAACCCACUUUAUUGACCACUAGGCCAUUGGGGAAUUGCAAGAUCUUGUUCUCUAUUACAGUCCCUUAGCACCAUCAUCCUGGAGCAGCUUCAGCUUACCGAGGACAUGACCCAUGAUAGAAGGGUGUGAAGAUCGAUUAUCGGGGUAAAGGGUUAGUAGGUUGCGCACGAAUUACUUUUCCGAACUAGGAGUAGCAGUAUCUCUGUUUUGUGCGCUUAUUAUUAGAUCCCUAGUAUUAUCUGAUUGUUUCUUUCACUUCG